AGGGUCCAGCUGCAGGCUUGGGCGUUCCCGUCAUGACACAAAAACGCCCAUCGGGCGUUCCCGUCAUGACACAAAAACGCCCAUCAGGCGUUCCUGUAGCGUUUCAUCGAUCAAUCAAGAAGAGUACCCUGGCACAUGCUUUGUCCAAUGGACCAUGGAAGGGACUUUACUUGGCUGACGAGGACGCACCUCACCAGUAUCAGAGCAACAGCUGUGGGGUGUUUAUGCUGAUGUACGCAAUGUAUUCUACCCUCAAAAGCAAUAUGAUUUCAGUGAGGGGGACAUGCUCUCUAUCAGGAGGUGGUGGUUGGACAGCUGUUGGAGACCUUUAUGCUUGAAAGGUUUAUAUACUGUGUCCAUGUUGCUAUUUACUUAUUUUUGGUGCUCACGAAGAUCGUAGCCAAUACACUUGUCUCUCUGUCUCUAGCCCUGCAGAACUAGCUGGCUCCUUCUCACCCUCUCCAUCUCCCCAUCUCAGUCACACCUUCCAAUCACUAAGCAGUGAAAGCCCUGCAGGGCUAGCUGGCACACCAAGCUCACCCUCUCCAUCUCCCCAUCUCAGCCACACGCUCCAAUCUGGCACAACAGAGGACAGGCCAUUCUUACCACCUGAAGUCCUUCAGCAAAUUCUUCAAGAGACGCUGAGACUGGACAUGGCGAUGCUUGGCGUGUUCAACAGGGUUUCAAACACAUUCCGAGAACUAAUCAAGCCUCUCCAUCCUUCCAUAUAUAUAAAUGAGUUUGGCAGGGGACCUUAAGCUUAAUAAAGACAAUCUCAUAUGCAUAACGGUUAGAAAGAUUUACAACAAUGCAGGCUGUGGCAGUGGCCUUGCGCUACGCCUCAAAGGCUUCUUAAAAAAGAAGAAUUGGCCAAGAGCACCCCUGGUACUGAGGCACGUUGCAUAUGGCAGGUUUGUCAUAAAAGAUGUCUGCCUAGGAUAAUGUUCUUUUAUUACUCCUUUUUCGUUUUAUUUGGGACGUCUUUUUUUGCAAUCCCUUUCAUUUGUAAAUGUGCAUACUACUGUAGUAAAUGUAUCUGCCCAGAAAUGCUGGUAUUUUAUUACUCCUUUCUUUUGUUUUUGUGACAAAUGCUAUACGAUGUAUAACAUACAUUUGUGCCUACGAUGUAUGUUGUAAGGUUAAUUGUUACAGAGCAAUUACUGUUUUUUGUCUUUAUUGAAAACAUUCAGUUGGAAAAGUAAGUGAACACUUGGAGUCAAAUGGCCUACUGUUUGAGCCUUCAUAGUGUCUGGUAACUGGAUUUGAACUGCAUAAUGUCCCAAGUGUUAUUUUAAUCUAUUCAUUAUUUAAUUUGGGCAUAUUCUUAAACAAUAUCAAACAUCUCACUUAUACCUAAUACCCUACCUA